AAUGCCUUUUUGGCUGUGUUUUUGGCUUGAUUCUUCUUGUUGAUGCUGCUGCUUCUACAUAACCGCUUCCUGAGAUACUGUAGUUCGUAGGAUGGCCGUCGGAUGGAGGGAAGUGGAGAAUCUUGGGCAUUUUGGACGGCUAGGAUUGGGUUUUGGAUUUGGUGAAGGGUCUUGAUUCUCGUGAUGGAGGAGAUGGGCCGUUGGAUUGUG
rnacentral:misc_RNA from 1 species